CUACUGACGACUAAACUGCUAAUAUACUCGACUAAUUUGUAUUUACAAUACCUUAGACCAGCGAUCCGUUGAACUUUGUGCUGCUGAUCCAAGAAUUAAAAAAUCGCAGGCCGUUCGUAUCAAUAUAGGGAGACUUCUAACAAAUUUACCUUGGCAAUGUAGGCUUUAGCGUAGAAAUUUCCGAAUAAAACGAUGAAAGAGACCAUGUAAAUGACAAGAGCAUACUGCAUCCAAAGUGGGAAAUCGCAUCCCGACCGAAUCCCAUUGAUGCCGAGGAUCAAGGCAGUAGUAAAUUGGAUUAAUUGAAGAAUCGUCAGGUAUUUCUUCCACCAGAGAUAUUUAGCUACAGAGGGUCCCAAUGCGGCUAAGCCAUAGUAUGAAUACAUGAGGACAUGGAUAAAACUGUUCACCAUGGCUGGCAGGAAAGCUAAAAAAAAGGAUUUUCAAUUAAACAUUUCAUUCUAACAAGUUGAGAAGAAAAAAGGAAUACAUAUUAAAUUAAAAAAUUUAAUAUACAUGUGAUUAUAUACUCCAGAAA